GAGAGAGAGGGAGAAUCCUGUUUUGUGAUUUUUUUUUUUAAACGACGAACCGUGCCUCGCAUGCUGCUGUCAGAGCAAAACACUUUUGCUGCUUAAAGUCACAUCUACGCCUUUUGCGAUAAUCCUUUAAAAAAAUAUAUAAAAAAAAUAAAGGAGAAAUAAUUGCUUUAAAGCCUCAGCCGAACUGCCAACCACACCUUCGGAUGUCAGAAGGCAGAAAUAUGUGAGCUGCUGAGAGAGGUGGGUACUUUUUGGGCCUUCCUCAGACAUGACAUAAAUAGAGAUUGAACUAUCAGGGAAGAAAAAAGAAAAUAAACCCAAACCCCUGGACAGGAACAGACACAGGCAGAUAUAUAACCACAUAUGAACAAUGUUACAUACCGUGUUAAGAGGAUGUUAAAAAGAAAUAAUAAAUAAAUUGCAUAUUUAUAACCUCAUAAUUAAAAUACAUUCUCAUCUCCCUCUGAAAGGUUGCAGCUUUCUUGGAUAUAUUUUGAGUGCAUAUUUUAAACUCCGUGUCCCGAAUUGAAUUGAGAUGAGCUGUUUUACCCAAGAGUAAAACCCUUGUUUACAAUUUGAUGUUUAAGUUUCAUCUGCCUAUCAAUUGCCAUAUCAUUUCCUUCAUAUUUUACCUCCUUACAUUUGGAAACCUUAUUUAAGAUGGUGUUAGCUUCUAGCAAAUGCUAAUUUCUGUUUAUAAGAAAUUAGCCAAUAUUAUCCAAAACAAUCCCUGUGUUUGACUGAGGCAAAUUGUAUGAGAAUUUUUUUUUCCCAUUCAAAGGGCUAAAGCUUAACUGAAAACUUUAAAGCAAAGGGAUACCAGCAAACAGUAAAAAAUGGCAUAUCUGCUCUCUCUUGACAAGCUUGCAUUAUAUCACAUGUAAGGAAGCCCAGUUUUUUGAAUCUAAGACCAGUUUUAGUUUUUAAUAGGAAAUAAUUACAUGGAACUUUAUUUCCAGAGAGAAUGUCCCUUCCAGCUACAGUGUUUUGCUUUGAUCUAAGUAUUAACUGGUAAUAAAAUAACCAUAUUUUGGAUCCUAAGCAUAUUGAUGCUUAAAGGAAUGUUAUGCUUUCAAUCAAAUUUGAACGUGCGAUUAUCCAAAGGUAUUCAUCCUUCUUUUGUCAGAAACCAUUUUACUCUCUUAUUCCUACAGCUGCUCACAUGUGGUUUAGUAUACUUUAGCUUUUUUUUUUUUUUUGUAGUAGAAUUUGCACCAUCAAGGUGGAAAACUUUUAAAUGGAGCUCAAUCAUGUUCCAGCCUGGUAAUUUGGACUGUUUCUCACAGAACUCCCCGCUCCAGCCCUGCUUUACACUUGUUGUACACCACCACCAUUGCCCAUCUCCGAGGGUGACUAUCAUGAGUGUCUCUGCAGCAGGAUUUUGGUUUAAAUCUUCAGAUUUUUUUUGUUUCUUUCUAAAACCUGAAGAAUCAAUCAUUUGGACCCAUCCUGAACAAUUAACCUCGCCUUUAUAUUACAGCCCCAAGCUCAGUACUUCAUAAAGACAUGAAAAGGACAUCCCAGACAGCAGGACCCGAGCCCAGGCUUGUCACAGAGUAUAAAAGGAGAGAGAAGGGGAGUUUUUAUCUCUUUGCCCCACCAAUUCUUAAUAGUUCUAAGUUUCAGUGGUACAAUAAACCAGUUUUGAUAACAUAGCUCAUGGGUUUCCCUGCCACAUAAAGUUUUCUUAAUAAUAAAAAAGAAGAAACUUUAUCCCUGCUAAAUUAAAAUAGGGCAGAUGUUGGAUAUGGUUCGUAUUAGCCAGCCUUUCACCCCUUUGCCCCUGGCACUAAAGUUCUGACUUUUUCUUUCUACUAUGUCUGUUUCUAACUGAAAGGUAUUAUUCCUGCCCUAGCCCUCUUCUUCUAUUUAUUUUUUCAGCACCUAAAAUUAAACCUAUUCAUUUAGUAAUAUACAUUCUAUUGCAGAUUGCUAAAUCUGGGCACAGAGGGGAAACGUUUUCCAAAAAGUGAUGCACCACUGACCUUAAAAGAAAACACGAGGCAGGGAAAGCUGUUCUGAAAAGGUUUAUUUCUAGCGAAUUUUGUAGCUCUGUUGACAUUAUAAGGAUAAUGGCUGUGUUGCAAUGGGCUUUCAAGGCCCAAGAGGUUUAUGUUUUCUUCUGACCAUAAGUAUAAUAAAAUUUUAAAGGUGCACAAAGCCUCAUCACUUUAGAUAUUUGAAACUAGACUGAAAAAACCCUUGGGAAACACACAUUAUAGUGGACAGCUCUGCUGAGGGAGCAGGGGAUAGGGAAAAAACAAACAAACCCCAAACCCAAAUAAAACCCCCAAUUUUUGUCAUGCUAGCUCUAUGAAAAUCCUGGCUAUUAAACUCCCAAGGAUAGCACAGCUCUUUUCUCCAGGGCUGUGAAGAUAGAAUUUAUUGUCCAUUUGGAACGAUCAAGUUUAGGCUAAUAAAAGGCCCUCUGUAAGCAGAAGUGCCCAAGUUGACGUUUGGCAGAGUUUUCAAUGGUAGAGUUUAUAUAGGAUGGGGGCUCUGUGCUAUUAGAAAUUACUCAUCUCUCAGCAGCCGAGGAUGAGUUGACGUACAGAAGUAAACGUUAGUAGGCAACGGCUGAAGGUUAAUCAGUGUUGCUUUCUGAACUGGAGGGUUCAAAGCAGGAAGAAGUGAAAGCUGCUCUCUCCAGCCCUUCCCUUUGCUAAGGUGCUGCUAACUUUUAUGAUUUUUCUCCCCCCCCGCCCCUUCCUAUUUUACUAUCUGUCUUUGUGCCUGAGGGCCAGUGAAAGAACACUGCAGAUUCUAGAUUGCUUUCAGAGUUUCCCUUUGCUGAUGAUGGAUUACCAUGUCAAUUUAAACGGCAUAGGAUUAAUUUGUUUCAAUGAUUUCUCUUUAGGCUGAAUGCCAGUCUUUUUUUUCCUGUCUCUCUCCUUACUCUUAAGAAUAAUAACAAUAAUAAUAAUAAUAAUAAAAAAAUCCUUAAAAACCCCAAACACUUUUGAUCUCCCACAUUAAAAAGACAAUAAUAGAAAUAGACAAGUUAGGUAUAAUGUUGCAAAACAGUUGUAGGUUUGAGUGUUUUUAUCUCAUUCUAAGGGGCUGAAGCAUACAGUCAGUCACAUUAAAAUGAAAUUGGAUCCAACGUUUAUUCAAUAAAUACUUGUCUUGUAGGUAAUCCAGAGCAGAGUGCUUUUGACACAUAAGGACUUAAUUUGUCUUGGAUAACAAGUUAUUAAUAUGGCACAUUUAAACUUGCCACCUACAAUAAGGUCAUUUAGAUCUAUAAUAUGACUCGCAAGAGAACUUCAUAAAGCCAGAAACAAAGUUUGAGGCUGCCUCUGAGUUGUGGAGCAGAACGUGGUUUGCUCUUUUCAGCAGAAAGUUCAGAGCGAGUAGGAGCCACCCAAACCCAAGUGGUGUGCAUCUGCUCUCCUUUGAAAGGCAAACGUAAAUGGAAUAAGGAGGGGAGAGGGGAAAAAGAAAGUACCCAAACACACGUUUUUGAAUGAGUAAGCUUUAAAGCUGUGCUGCGUCUGCUAGCAAACUCAUCGCAGCUUUGGGAGUGAAAAAACAACAUUUGGUUCCGAGUGGAAAUUCGCCUGCGUUUGCACUCUACCUCUUCCAUGUGCUUUGCAAUUUACUUGCUUUUAAUAAUAAGUGAGGAAGUUGGAACAUAAUCCACCCAUAAAUGUUAUUGCUGUAAUUUGACUGUGCUGUGUUUGUUCAUGCAUUAGCCGUAUAUGUAAAGCGAAGGGGGGAUGUAUGGUGGUGAUCCCCGUGCAGCCUGAACAAACAGAGAUGUUUUGGUACGUACUGGAUUUCAACCCCCAAAUGCUCUGCAAUUUGGGAAGCUGGAGGUGGGGUGUUUAGUUUCAGACCUGUCCUAACCAAACAAUGCCUGCAUGAGGUGCAUCAGGAGGUGAAUAUUGUGGGCAUGUGAUGCAGGAUGUGUUCUGUGGCUGGCGACUUGGUGUCCACACUGUAUGCACGAGCUUUAUUAUUCUGCUUUGAUGUAUUAAGCUCUUGGUUGCUCUUGCCCUGGCAGAUUCUGUCUCUUUAAGUAACUAAAUCUAAUUUUUAAGCUCUUCCUGGGAAAAGGAUGUUACACAUGAGUAGAAAAAUGCAGGCGAGAAAGGCUAAUUGAAUGAAAAGAGAGAAUUAGGUUAAAAAUAGAGUACAAUCUAGUAUCACAUUUUCACUAGUGUAACCUGAAAUGAAGGUGUCUCCAAGUCCCUAGUGAUGCCAGAGUGUUUAGAUGUUGGGCACAGAUGGAGACACCUAUUGAAAUGUGUCUGAAGAAGAUUAAUAGGACUUGUCAGUGUUGGGAAAGCACUGCUUUGCUGUAAAUUUCUACUAGCACAAGAUGAAUUACCGAUGAAUGCUCAGUUAUCAACCCCAUCACUAUCAUUGGACACUAAAUCAAAUUGAGCAGCUAUCUACAAUCAGAAAAUUUCUUUUAAAAAUAGGCAUACACCUUUAGGCUUAAACUCUUUAAUAAGACAAAAUCCUCUAUGGUAUGUGUGUGUUCACGAAGGGAUAUGAUUUAAAGUUUCUAUACAAAAAGCUUCUGUUCAGAAACAAACUCCAAGUUUAGUGUGAAAUCUGGGUUGUCAAACAAUAGAAGAUAUUCAGAAAAUACUGGUUAUACGAUAUAAUGUUCUGCUGGAGGCCUGAUCCAAAAUGGAUUUUCAUGCAUGUCACUGAAUUUUGGAUCUGUCCCUAUUUGUGAGAGGUUUUUCUUUCAUUCCUCCUCUCCCUUAUUUUUGGUAAUGGUAAAAAAAACUUCUGUCUACCUUAAAGACUGAGCAUCCAGAUCAUAUAUGAAUGCAGAAUAGCUGUCAAGACUCAGGAUAUAUAUAUCAUAAUAAUACCACCCCCCAACAUGUUUAUGAAAUUACAGCUGAAUAUAAUGAAAUACGUGAUGAAAGAAUCAAUGAAUAAUAUUUUAACUGAGAAUAUUUCCUUCUAUCCUUUAUAAAAGGGGAAACUGUCACAAGCAAAACUAUCACAAACGUUUACCAGCCCACUCCUGAAGUAUAUUAUCUGUAUUUACCGUGUGAUGUUGAUGAUGACAAUGAUAUUAAAUAAGCAUUCUCUAUUUUUAGUUUCUAUGAUGUCUUUCCCUCUCACCCAGGCAUUGUGCUACUUUAUCCAAGGAGAUUUAUCGUGGCGUGUUUUCAGAAGUCAAUUUUUCCCUUUUAUUAUAGACAAGGGCAGUCAUUUAGGGAGGGAGACAGGUACAAUGCCUUUGUCAGAUCUGUAUCCCCAGCCACAGCUCCCUUCUUAAUCGAUGGCAAAUUCCCACUCUGGAGGAUCAGGCCCUAUCUGGGCCACUUCUCAACUCAGGAAUGUAUCCUUCCCUUCACCUCCACAUAUCUUACCUGUGAUGUAUGCUACUUUUUGAGGAGGGAAUAGUACGCUAUUUACCACAAAGUACAGCUUCAAAGCCUUUGUGUGUUUCUCAUCUCCAGCCAAAAGCUUAUUAUUUACCUCCUUAUAAAUUUACCCGGGCAAGGGAUAGUAGCAGUUAUUGUCUUCAUUUUUACAUCCUGAUUUUCACACAGCAAAUGCCCUGCACUAGGGCCAGAUUCUCACUCAGAUGGAAGUUAUUAACUUUAAGCAGAACGGAGCCGAUUUCAGCCAGCCACAGCCCGUGCCCUUCCAACACAGUUGCUUUACAGCGUCCCCUUGUUUAUUUUUUUCCUUGGAGGGCAUGAUUCUUUAAACAUGUUUGUUUUACACAGAGCAGCAGUUGAUUCCUAACUUUUUUUUUCCCCCACAAACAUGUAACGAGAAUAUUAAUAAGGAAUAUUAAUAGAGCUGAGUGCAGCAUGAUGCUAGUUAGAUUGUAGUAGCUGAGAAAUAUGAACUAGUGAACAUAAUCCAUAAACUCCAUUUGGUUACUAUAAUACUCCAAUCUGUAUUUAUUACAACCCCACUCUGAUGCUUAUACAACUGCAAUUGCUAGAUUUAUACACUCUAAUGGUUUCACAAUAGGAAAAACCUGUGUUCUUUAUCUUUCUUUUCCUGUCCAAAAUAACCCCUUCCACAUAUACUUCAGGCUUCUCCAGACCUUGUCUGGGUUUAAUCACAGGCUCUGGGACAAAACGCGCAUUAUUAAGAAAUAUAAAUAUUUUCAGAAGCAAUCAAAGGGUUGAAAGAUUGAUUCGGCAUGUAGAUUGGAUUUAAUUCGAAGCAGCUUUGUUCUAAUGAGGACUACUGGGAUACAAAGACGGCAGCCGCUUAUGGCCACCAGUUGGGAACUUCGACUCGCUGCAGCAACCUGUCAAGAAUUUCAAGGAACUGCCAGGUAUUAAGCAGCAAAGUGGUAGGGAAGCUGGUGGUCUAUUGUUUUCAGCCUUCUUUCGAGGCUGGAUUAAGGUUUCAUAGUCCCUGUUUUACCAAAAUGACAAUUAAGGUUAAUUUCUUGCUGCCCGCAGGACCAAAUCCUGCUCAGGGGGAAAGCCCUCUGGACUUUAUGGGGGGCUUUGCCUAAGGGAGAGGUGGCAAAGCUUGGCUGAGCCCCAGGUCCAGCAAAUUUGAGAGCCCCAUAGUGAUUUGUUCUGCUUCCAGACCUGGUGCGGCUGCUUUUUGUGACUAUUCCUGUUAAAUUUUGCUACCUGCGCUCCUAGAUGCGGCAGGAUCUUUUUGCAUAGGUGGUGUAUUUUCUUUAUGGAGAAAUACAGCUCUGUGUUGGCUGGGAAGCUCUUGUAUCCUUCUUGGGCGACCUGGACCUGUCCUGUUUCCCGGGGAAAAGCAUGAGACGUGCAACAAAACAUCCUUGAGGUGAUGCUGAACAAAACGGGACACUCGAUAGCUUUACCCUUAGGCUUAAAGAACCCCCCAAACAGUGAGAUUUCAGUGUGCACUGUGGGGGGGUGUCACGUCACAGGUAUUUGGGGAGCACAAAACCCUGGCAUCUUUCCUAAGUGUUGAGCGUACAGUCGGAAUCACAGUAUAUACAGGAUCAAACACUGACUAGUUUCUCUCUCCCCUUAGCCCCCCUCCCAUGCCUACUUUUGUCCAUAAAAGCAAGAGAAAGAGAGAAAGCUUGAAUUUUCUGAACUGUUUCACCCAUCCACAGCUGGAAUUCCAAAGCGAAAUGAAAAUGCCUUUAAAAUCAACCCUACAUGGGAGCCUGAGAGAACAAGUUUUCCUUUGUUGUAGGGUAUAGUAUUAUUUGCUGUAGGUUUUUGAUAUACAUUCUAAAUUAGGCCUGCAAAGGAAUGCUUCAUCUUUAAUUCAUCACUCUCAGCUGAAAGAGAUUAGCAAUGUCUAGCACGCACCCUUCGUAUGGUGCUGACCUCAUCAAGUAUGGCCUGAAAUUAAUUAGCCUCAUUCAUUCCAAAUGGAAAAGGAUAAUGGAGCUGCAUUUUAGAGAUGACCAUCACAAAUUGUAUGCAGCAUAUUUAAAAUCCCUCCCCCCACUUCUCGCUCCCCUCCCCAUUAAAAAAACUAUGUAGAUUAAAAUUCUUUCCAGAACUUGCAAUAUGCCAGAGUUAUCGAGGCAUUAGGAGCAGAAACCACUCCGUUUUUAUUUGUGGAACUGGGAGCCACAUUUUGUAUGUGUAGCUGUAAAAGCAGCAAGCCUGUCUUAAAUGACACAACACCUGGAAUUAAUCUGAUAUUUCCAGGUGCUCUGGCAAACUGGGGCAUCAAGCGCUUGGUGUUUAAACAUUCUUCCACUGGCUUGCUUAAAUCAAUAUGAAAGUGGUGUCCCUUUGUCAUUCAUAGAUGCAAAGUGCUAGCACAAACUCCAGCUUGGCUUCAGAGUCCUACAUCACUCAUAAUCUAAUUAGAAAUCAGAGCAGAGCCGAAGCAGCAUUCUUUGUGGAUUCUUGAGCAGCAAAUAGGGAUACUUGUCUUUUGUUUCCCUCCUCGAUUGCAUCGUUCACAAGCUUUCACACCACAUCUCUAAAGGUGGUUAGGUGCCUCAAGAUGUUGACAGGCAUGAAGGACAAGAUUAUUUAGGAACUUGGACGAUGCCCGUGCCUAAGACAAUGGUGAGGAUUGGCCCCAAAUCCAGAUCCAGCCUGGAUUCCUCCACCUGAGUAGUCCUGUCUCAACCUACGACUGCUGAUGGAUUGCGGCGAUGUGGACCUUCCUGUCUCCUUACUCCCCAGCAUCAGAUCACCAAGAGGGCCUGAGAUAACGCUGGAUGAAGCACCACAAGACCAUGCGCACAGAGAGAUGUUGGUUCCCUGACUGCCACUGAUUCAGCUCUGUCAUGGCACAAGCUACAAGAGGCCGGAGACAUAUCGUGUGGACAGUUCCUGUCCUGGCUCCUCCUCAUCAGUGCUUUGAGUUGUGUGAAGCCCUGAGAACCAAGGCGACAUGAGUGCAUGACCAGGUUCCUGAUGCUAAAGGUCUGACCUCAAAAUGAGCAGUGCAAGAAUGGGCACCACAGCGAGCUUCUGGCCUUCAACCCUUCCAAAUACAGCUAUUUUGGAGAGGCACGGCCUGGUUUGCUGCAAUGCAACUGUCCUCAUUAAUGUUCUUCAAGCCCUGAUGUACUGGGAUCGCCAUUGUUGGGUAAGAAGAUCGUGGAGUUUUCCAGGCUCAUUCUCUUGGCUUCAGAAUGUUAAAUUGGGUGAUAAUGAGUAGUAACUGUGUCCCUUUUUAUGGGGAAGUUGACACUUGCCUUCUCUUAAACAGACACAGAGAUGACCCUCCUUAUUUCACACAGGUCACCAAACAGCCCCUGGCAUGGGAAGGGUUAUUGGCCAUUUACCAAACUCUGUUUGACUUGGGUUCAUGGGUGAGAGAUGAAAGGCACUAUAUUGCAUUACCAAUCCCUGGGGCCAGCUGGCCUCCCUAAAGAAGCAUUUCAUUUAGCAGGGCAACUGCUGGUCCAUGGGAAUCGGGGAGUUAAGAGAAAGAGGAUGCAGUUGCAAUUGCAAAUGCUUCCUUAGGGCAGAUGUCUUAAAGCCACACAGAAACUCACUGCUUCAGCGUUGCAAUAGUUGCUCCAGGACACUUAACGGCCAGCAGAUUUUUCCUAUAAUUAAUCUCCCUUUCUUCCCACCAAAACACCCCUUAGGUUACUUGUAGUGUUUCUGCCUCUGUCCUAUUCUGUUUUGCUCCAUCUCCCUGGGGAAGAUGCCCUGUACCUGGGACAAGCCCAAUGCAGCAUGUAUGAACUGAUGCCUUUUCUAAGAGCUUCAAAGUCUAGGCAGCCUAUGCCUUCCUCAUCUUCUGGAUGAAACAAGCAGCCCUGGUAUCACACUUAGAGCUUGGGAGGAGAGAAGCGUUCUCCUGAACUUCGCAAAUAUUUUCAGUAUCCUAGAGCUGAGAUGCUGACUGAUUUUCUUGGCUGUAAUGGAGUGGUCCUUGUAAUCAGGGCAGUCUAAGUGCUGCCUUUUUAGAGAUCAUGGAUGCAGUGCUUACUGCUGCAAUGGUUACGGGAAGGAGAACACCUGCUGCUCAGACAGACCAAGAAUUCAACCAGGACCCAUCCUGAAUUUCUUAUGAUCUCAAAAGCCGGCAUGGUUCCAAAUUCCUUAGCACUGGUCAAAAUCCUUAUUUCACUUUUAUCCUUUGCGUUUUUCAUGUGAAUUAUGAGACAUUCAGAAGUUGCAUUUGUUGUUUGAUAGUUUUACAUCAUAGUUGUAAUAAUGCAUCUGCUGAGUCAGCAGUUCUUCCUGUGUGUGUUUGUUUACUUUAUAAUCCACUUCCAGCAAGUUCUUGUUAACCAAUUCCUGCUGACAACCAGGGAACAGGCACAAGUCAGCUCUGAAAAUGAACGACUGGAAGGUAAGUGAAAGGAAUAGUAAAUGCAGGCCAUUCAUGUGACAGGAUCCAAUUCAUUUUUAUACCAGGGAGAUGUUUUAAAUGGGACUUCUCCCAGAGGAAAGCUCUCAAUGCUCAAGGCCUGCUUCACCAUAAAGACAAUACAUAAUUAUUCAGAGCUUAUUAUUAUUUUUUAUCAGUCAUUUUCCAGUCACACGGAGCGAGGGCACAGAUGAGAUCAGGACCUAGUUUAUUGCCAGGCACUGUACAGAUUGUACAGUACACAGUACUGUAAGAACCCUAUAAAAGGUGUUAACUAUCUGCUUAAUGGAGGCAGAGAAAUGCACCCAGGCUGAAGGUUAAAGCAACAGGCCUAAGAUGGCACAACUCAUCAGCAGCAAAAAUGGGGGCUCAGCCUGGGACCCUCUCUCCCGGGAUCCUGCUGCAUGUUGCUUUAUACACCUUUUACAUUUAUUUCAAAUCACUGAAAUGAUGAACUGAGUAAAUGCCAUGUCCUUUGAAGCACUGUUUAUUGUAUUUAUAGGAAACAGAUUAUCUGUUCUCUCAGGCUAGUGGAAAUUAUUAGGAGUGAUCAACUCAUCAGGAAAAAAUGUAGGCUGGGUGUGACAGAGAAACUUGUGUUUUAUUCCGCAGUGCCAUCUUAAUCUCUGGUUUUGGUAUGACAGACUAUGUGGUCUCAGCGAUACUGCACCAUCCUGUUCUUUGCUUUCAAGCUCAGGUCACGGGUUGGAUUUGGAAGCAGCAAUUUUCAUGCAGAGAUGUGACUGGAAGCUGAAUGUUAUUCCAGGACAUUACUCCAUUCAUGACCUCACUGCAGUUCCUGAAUUCUUUCUGGAAAGAUUAAAAAUGAACUAAUAUACCAGUGAUCUCAUCACGGCUUAAAGAACAUCUUACACAGGAGGGAAAAAAAGGCAGGACAACUUCAGUGCUUCAUUUGCAUCAAGAGUAGAAAAAACACUUUAACAGCAUUGUUGAGAAACCCUGAAGGUACAAUGCUAGAGAAGCAUUUUUCCUGCCUUUAUCUAUACCUUCCCUUGUCUCUUCUAUGCCCUUCCUACAUGUUUUAAUGUACCUGAUUACUUGGAAUCAUACACAUUACUUUUUCUAAGUACAUCCAAAAGACAUUUUGCAGAAUACAAUCAUGUUACACAACAGUAUUCAUACAUACUUCAUCCAUAGCUUACAUUAUUCUGGGUAAGAACACCUUUCUUACAUGUAUAUACGGUUCUCCGGCUAAGGGGGCUAAGGGGUUAUGGAUUAUAACAGGUCUCAUCUACUUUGGAGCUGUUGUAUCCUCUAACAGAAAUCAGGAAGAUGAGUAGGGAGAGAUGCUUUGUUUUCUUUGAUAGGAAAACCUAUAAACUAGCACUCAUGUAACCAAGAAUCCCACCAUAUUUUAAAUGUUGUAUCCCAUUCUAAAGUUGGAAACUAGAAUACCUUCAGGAUACGAGUACAGUGUUAACAACAAUCUUAUCUCUUGCGCCCAUGGGUACACCUCAGCUCUGGCUUGAGAUCACAUGUUAGGCAAUGAGGUGACAAACCAGUUUCCUUCCUCAAGCUGAAUGUCACGUAGCUGCCCAGGGGUUCGUUUUGGUGGGGGUCAUGUCCCCUGACUUUUCAUGGAGAGGUGUGCUGGUGUAACCCCUUCCCACACUGUACAUUUGUCAGGAGGAGACAAAAAUGCUCAUUUCCAUCCAUAACAUUUCUCUGUCAUGUAGACUGCCCACGAGGCAUCAGCCUGUAAGCUGGGAGGCAUCAGAGCAGCCACUUGUUAGACACUGACAAAGAAACCUCCAAAACCUAAGUGGAGAUGAAUUCCCAGGGCUAAAGCAAGCUGAUAUAUAAGGGAUGAUGGUACCUUUCUACCCACCCAACAAGAUUUGUUACUCCUAGAUGGGGCAACACACAAACCAACCCUAAAUGCUUUGCAGCUGAUAGAUCUGCUUUAGUGAAAAGAGGCCCAAACAGUGAUAUUAUAGGCUAAUACAUGCUGCAGCAUUAAUAGAAGUCCAAAAGGCCCAAAGAGCAGUGCAGAGCAUUUGUUACCAACAAGAAAAUAGUGGGUGAAAAUCUGUUGUAAUUUCUGGCCCCAGGAGCCUCUCUGGAGGCACAGACUUCCCAAAGCAGAGGGGAGUUGGAGAACUGGGUGUAUUCAGCAAGAUCUCAUCCCCCUGCAGAUUUACCAGGUCAGCUCAGUCCAGGAUAAAGGAGCUGAGCAAGGUCCUGAGCUACACUAAAAGUUCGUUGCUCUAUUGAUUGUGAAGAGGUAGUUAUAGGAGAUCAGGAUCUUGAACCGAGACUAGUUUGUACAGCUUCAUCUGGUACACCAAAUCAUAUAUUCCCCAACUACAGAUAAAACAAAUGGCCAAUUUUAGCCUAAUCAUCACUUCUGCCAGAGGAAAGAGAAACUCUUUGAGGUACGUUCUCUUGGAUAUAAUUCUUUCUUUCCAGGUUAAAGAAGGGCUGCAGCUAAUACGUAUCCUGAGUCAUAAUGCGGAUUUGCACCUUUCCUGUUAAAUAUAGCUGGUUCGUGUCCAAAGCAUCGUUUUUAUUCCUAAUGUUCACUUAUAUCGUUACAACUUCUACAUUAGUUGCAGGUGUGAAACGCCAACUGAUCCACACCUCUUUUGCUGUCAGCAGGAAAGUAAUGUAUGUCAAAGGCCUGAUUCUCAGAGGUGAGGUCACCAGGAUCUCCUCAUUUGCACAUCUGCUUUGCUAAACACAAAGCUCUGGAGAUUUGCAAAGCUCCAAUACGCACUAAAUGGGAUGAGUUCACUGGGGGCCAUACAGGAGAAACUAUUUGUGCUUCUCCUUUAGUAGGCAGGUCCCAGAAUUUUCCCUCUAUACAAAAUAUUUGCUGUUUUACAACAGGCAGCAUUUUGCUAGUUUUCACAUGGAUACUUGUGUCUUUGGCAUUAAUAAGGAAAAAGGCUAUGCUUCAUGUUACAUGUGAUACAAGCGAAUUCAGGAUACCAACAAGUUAAAAAAAGAGCUCAAUACAUUCAGCAGCUUCAGAAAGGUGCUAAUAUUCAGUGUGUGCCUGCUUGGACUGUGAAGGUAUUAACUCCUGGAGGGACAAUGCUGCUGGAGACUGUUUCAGAGAGGCAUCCAGAUUUGGUUUUGAGGGCUUCAGAAAAGCAUUCGCAUAUUUCUACUUCCUGCUGUUAGUGGAUUAUUUUUUAUACCUUGGAAAAAGUCUUUGAAUUAAUGUGUGUGCAUGAUGUCUAGAUAAUGCUUCUUGCCCAGGGACCUCUAAUACACAGUAUUUUUUGCCUUCUACACUUUCCAUGAGAUCAAAGACUAAUCAUAUAUAUGCACCUAAUUAUUUUCUGAUUUCUGCUCAUCUAUAAUAUCCGUUAAUAUCUGCAAUAAAGAUUCCCACAAAUAAUUUAUACAGAC